CCUACGGGCGGCAGCAGUGAGGAAUAUUGGUCAAUGGGCGCGAGCCUGAACCAGCCAAGUCGCGUGAGGGAAGACGGUCCUAUGGAUUGUAAACCUCUUUUGUCGGGGAGCAAAAGACGCCACGCGUGGCGUUCCGAGAGUACCCGAAGAAAAAGCAUCGGCUAACUCCGUGCCAGCAGCCGCGGUAAUACGGAGGAUGCGAGCGUUAUCCGGAUUUAUUGGGUUUAAAGGGUGCGCAGGCGGAAGAUCAAGGCAGCGGUAAAAUUGAGAGGCUCAACCUCUUCGAGCCGUUGAAACUGGUUUGCUUGAGUGAGUGAGAAGUAUGCGGAAUGCGUGGUGUAGCGGUGAAAUGCAUAGAUAUCACGCAGAACUCCGAUUGCGAAGGCAGCAUACCGGCGCUCAACUGACGCUCAUGCACGAAAGUGUGGGUAUCGAACAGGAUUAGAUACCCCUGUAGUC
rnacentral:rRNA from 1 species